UACAGAGGGUGCGAGCGUUAAUCGGAAUUACUGGGCGUAAAGCGUGCGCAGGCGGUUUUGUAAGACAGAGGUGAAAUCCCCGGGCUUAACCUGGGAACUGCCUUUGUGACUGCAAGGCUUGAGUGCGGCAGAGGGGGAUGGAAUUCCGCGUGUAGCAGUGAAAUGCGUAGAUAUGCGGAGGAACACCGAUGGCGAAGGCAAUCCCCUGGGCCUGCACUGACGCUCAUGCACGAAAGCGUGGGGAGCAAACAGG
rnacentral:rRNA from 1 species